AUGAUCUAUAAAGCAUGACAGUUACAUUUGGUGAACUGUUCAUAAGAAGUCACUGUGUGCCAGAUGACUGAAAGCAUCUCCAGUACAGAGUUUCUAAAAUGUGUUUCAGUGGCUCCAAGACCAUUUUCCUUUUCUAAAGAAGUUCCUAUGCUAAAAGCAAGACUAAAGGACCCUGAAAACUACUAAAAGGUAGGUUCUAGCAUCAACCAUCUAGAGAGUAAGGUUUCCUACGUGUCAGCUUCUUCUUGCCUUCUAUAUUGUUUAAGGAGAUAGUACAGAAGUUGAGAACUAUAUGACAAAGGAUGAAGCGGUUCAUUUGUCUGUGACCUGUAUCAACUGAGAUUGGCUAUGAGAGUUUCUCACCUUACUGAACUGUCCAGCGACAUACUUCAGGAUAUUGGGAGGCGCAUCAUAGAGAAACGGCUCAAGCGCCGGGAGGUAGG
rnacentral:lncRNA from 1 species